UUAGGAGUCAAAAACAAAAAAUGAAUAAACAAAAUGGAGGUCAGUCCUUCAUCGUCCAGGAUGCUGAUCAG